rfam:Ovis aries breed Texel chromosome 4, whole genome shotgun sequence.
UGGCUCAGAUGGUAAAGCGUCUGCCUACAAUGCAGGAGACCCAGGUUCAAUCCCUGG